GUGUGACAGGUCUGUGGUCGUGGUAAAGGGGUGUUUGUGACAGGGUCCCUGGGGUCGUGACAGGUCUGGUGGCGUGGUGAAAAGGGUUCUGGUGACAGGUCGGGUGUCGUGGUGACCAGGUAUGGUGUCGUGGUAAAGGGGGUGUGUGACAGGUCUGGUGGCGUGGUAAAGGGGUGUGUGACAGGUCUGGUGUCGUGUGACAGGCCUGGUGGCGGGGUAAAGGGUGGUGUGACAGGUCUGGGUGUCCGUGUGACGGUCCUGGUGGUUGUGGGUAAAGGCGGGGUGUGA
rnacentral:lncRNA from 1 species